rnacentral:lncRNA from 1 species
AAUUUGCCUUCGGGUUUGCAACAGGCUUCAUUCUCCUCAGCACUGGGGACUUCCAUAAAUGGGUAGUUGUUUGAGUAUUUCCUUGGCUAUCAGAAGCCUUGCAGGCUGAAGCUGGACAACAUAUUGUAACUUCAAAGGAUUUAUCACCACAACAAUGUGGACCACUCAGAAAAUUCACUGGAACACCUGCAUCUUCCAUGCUCCAUUCCAAGAAAUAGCCAUGGCUGUGACAUGGCCACUACCACCCUCCCUGAAGAUGCUUCAAAACUGAACAUCUGGAAAUCUUCCUGACUGGCUGCCCUCUGGAUUCAGAAACUGCUCCAACCAUUAAUCUUUGUUUUUCUCUCCCUUUGCAUAUCUCUUUCCUUGCAACUUCUAAUCUGAAUUUCUCUCCAGAGCAAUCAACCUAGUCUCCUUUUUUUUCUUUUUUCUUUUUUUUAAAAAUAUGUGCGGAAGUUUCAAGUGGGGGAAAUCUGGAGAGACCCCCAGAGUUGAUUUUAAAGUGAAAACAUUUGAGCUAAAGAAGAUAGAGAAAGAAAUCUUAUCUCAACUCCCCUUAUCUGGCUCAAGCAUAACUUUCAAGCUCUACAGCUGCUAUUAACCUCCUCCCCACCUCCACCCGACUUUAGGCUUCUCCUAUGAAUUCUACUGCCUUGGAGGCAGACUGUCCAUUGCCAUUAGCAUCAAAAAGUCCCACAGAAACUUCCUUGCCUUCCCAGUGAAGUCCUAACUACCACCUCCAUCCCUUUGUUUAGUUUGGUAUAUAAAACUUUUUUAUCCUGUCUAUUGAGUGAGUUAUCUAUCACUGAGUAAUUCUGUGUGAGGGCAUAAGUAAACCUCUUCUCUUCUUUUGUUAACCUAUCUAUUGUCAGUUAAUUUGCAAGUCACCAGCCACUGGACUCAAGUUAGAAGAGGAAGAGGUUGCCUGCCUAUGCAAUAAUUUCCCCCCUGCUGACUGCAAUGCAUUGCUCCCUGAUGAAAGCAGCAUUCACUGCCAUGACUACAGGAUUAUUUACUCCUGUACAUAUGUGUGCAUAUAGGCAUGUGUGUAUUUACAGAGUUAGCAGCUCAGCAGGUUGUGACUAAACAUCCUUAGGAAUUUCCUUGGUGAGUCAAAGCUUAUUAAAGUAGAAACACUUCCCAGAAGAUCAGAAAUCUAUCUUCAAACCAAGCUCAUUCCCCUGCUUGUUGCAUCAUCAAGCCAGGCAGCUUAAAAUAAAUCAUCUAUUAAAAGUGAACCAAUUACCAAACUCACCUUCCAACACUUCCAACACCAGUUUUGGGAAAUGGACUGGAAGGACUCCUUCGAUGGUAACUUGACCUUGCUUUCGCUGAUGACAUCGUCUUGGAAUGUUGGUAAACUUCCUUUGGCAUAUGCUUCAGUGAGGAGAUAGUUGUCUAAAUUAAUGACAUGCCUUAAUGAGAGACAGUUGGGAGCUUUGGUAUCUGGUGAACGGUGUUCAAUUCCCAACUCAACCAUUUUGUAGCUUUGUAAACUUGAACAACCUUUUACAUGCUUGAGACUGCCUCAGUUUGCUUAUUUGUAAGGUGUAGGGAAGAACUCUUAACCUGAAAGAUUUGGGGAAAAGAUAAAAUGAGAUAGUUGUAUAUACAAGUGCUUAAUUUUCUUCCUAGCUUCUUUAAAGUGCUCUCAAGAUCACUUGGAACAGGAUUAGCACUCUGCAGCAACAAUGACCUAGCUCUUUCCUACAUUACAGCUUAUGCCCUAAUCCAUGUACUUAACUUUCUUCACUUAUUGUCCUGCUUCUUUUAUUGCUGGAAAAACACCAUAUAUGCUUUCUGUGGACAGAAAACUAUUCAGUUUGUCCUAUGAAUAUCAAGUCAAAAAUUAUAAAAAGCAGAAUAUGUUUCUUUUUGGUUAUUUUCUAAAUGAUAAUAAUAAUAACAGCAACAGCAAUAGUAAAGCUUUCUGUUUAAUUUUGUGAAGAUUUUCUAUAUUUCCCUUCAGUUUAAAUCCGGUAGACAUAAGAUGAUAUGGAGUCUGGGAACCCUUCUUUGUCCUUUUCUUGUGUGUGUAAAUCUCAUCAUAGCUGGCUCUACGCGCCAUGACCUGAGCCACCCUCAGUCUGGACUGACCGCAUUGGGCAAUAAGCCGUCCAAGAUCUUUCUGGUCAGGGCUUGGCAGCAGGCAUGAAGGAAGAUGCCAACAUUGUUGCCAAGUGGAUGGCUCAUAUUUUCCAUCUUUGUCUUUGUGGAUGGCAGUCAUGUGCUCCUCGUGGUGCCCAAUUGUGCAACAGACGUCGAGGCGCUGAGCCAGAACAAGGGCCUAGGAUGAGGUUAGGCCCUCCUGAUGGGCAUGGGCCUGGGGUGGGCUCACAGCCGUGUGUUCAGCUUGGAUAAUCAGCUAUGGCAGAUUAGAUAAAAUCAGAAACGGAGGCUGAGAGUGUCCCUAGAAAUGGCAAGAAUGGGGGUUAGAGUGAGGAACUUGGGCUGGUCAGCAAGUUGAUCGUACAGGUGUGACAUGGUCCUUAGAUCAGGCUCAAAUAAGGAAAUUUCAGGAGUUGGAUAAGGCCAAGACUCAGAUUGAAGGCAAUAACCAAGAUCAUUCCAGAUACUUCCUCAGGGGUGUGUGGUGCUGAUGAGAGCUUCCAUUUACCUAAGUGUGGCUUAGAAUUUCUCUUGGCAGCUCCACUAUGGAGUAAUCUACCUAUUUUGUCAGAGACCCAGGUCAUGGUGGACACUGAAAAGAGGAUUCUGAUUCCAUUAGAACAAAAGUUGAAUAUUCUUUGGGCUAGGACCACUGAAUCUUUCUAGGUCAGUAGUCCUGUCUUCUGAGCCGAAAUCUGAGGCAAAGUCUAGGAUUUUCUCUGCCCACUCACAAGGCAGGGAGAAAGGUCCCAACCCUGGGAAAUCUAACCAGACUCUUGAUGAGAAAAAUCAGCGCUUUAGGAAAAGUGUUUUUCAGUUUUCUUCCUGUAUCCAUGUGAGGGUGGUAUCUAUGGUGAUUUUAUAGAAUAAUCCCUGGGCUAGAUCAACUGUCAAGGAAAUACAUCUACUGCACUGAACACUUACCCUGUCUAUAAGCCUUUCUAUCUACAACAUCCCAUAGAGGAUAAAAAUUUUUGUUACCAAUAAGUAGAUAUCACCAUCACAGGUUGUCAACAGUAGUACAAAUCCUUUAAGGUCCCUUCAUUAACUUUCAGUCCCAGACCUGUGCUUUUUUCUUCACCUUUGGUUGGUCUCUUAACCUGGCUAAGAAAAGCCCUAGGGAUCUGAGAGAACAUGAAUGAUGAGGAGUCAUCCCAUGAGAUCUUCAGCCCUCUGUUGACAUGGUCCAUAUCUCUAAGGGCUUCCUACACCUUCCACAACUCCCACAACUCUCCUUCUAAGAAUCCUGUAAGGAAAAGAUCCCUGGUCUAGGCAGCAGAUGAGAUUCUUCCUGGCUGUAGAGAUGUGGGGUCAGGAAACUUCGAAGUCCUCUUUGUAGCGAUGUUCACACACUGAGUCAAAAUGAGGAUCAUCCGAGUGCAGGAAUCAGGGCGCAGAUGUCCUGGAGGAAUGCCAUAUCUGGUCAGGAGUCCCAUCAGUGACCUGACGCUCUUUGGCCCAGCCUCAUCCGUCCAGGAGGAGUGGCAGCCUUCCCGAAUGACCACACCCUAGUUCCCUAAGGCUGCCAGGCCACCUGGGUUUUCAUGAGAAAACAUAUAGAACACACUGUAUGUGCUAAGUACAUAAAUUAAAAGUCUACAUGUGGUAUUUUCUUUACUGGCAGAUGAAGUCCUGGUCCUAGUUCUGGGGGGCUGGGGGAGGGGUGCGAAUUGGCUUUAUAGUACAUUUCAAAACAGAACAAAAAUAACUAAGACUAAACUAAAUAAACAAAAACCUUGGCUCCUUCAAGUUUUGCAUAUAAAUAAGAGACCUUGAAAUUUUCAGCAGAAAUGUCUUUGUACACAUCAAAGCAACAUAAGCGCUUGAAGCUUGUAAUGAAUACUGGAACACCGUCAGAAUCCAAGGCAACAUGCAAUGUAGGUUGAAGGGGAAGAUUCACAUACCUCUGGCCCCUGUGGAAAUGAUCUCAUCGAUCUGGAUCAUGUCCCACCUACAAAGCACUUCUUAGAUUGGAUUAACCAGGUGAUUGCUUCAUCCCUUCAACCUGCUUUCCAUGUACAAAAAUAUCUUAACACUAAGCAUGUUACCCUUCUGUAGAACCGAACUUGAGUUCUUAGCAGCAUUUUGCAAAUUUAUAGUUUGACUUGUAUUUCCCAGAAUCUUUUCUUUGUAACAGUGCUUUUAGAAAGAUUCUUUCAGUGUUGAUUUGUGUGGCUGAGCCUCCCUGGAAUAAUCUGGCCUCCAGCAACUCCUCACUCCACCCCCAGUAGGAGCUUGAAUAAUGACUGAGUGACCAAGUGUCCCAUUCAGUUAUUAUUCAACUAUAUUAAAUUGCUAAAGUUGGUAAUUGGAGCAUAUCUUAUUACAAAGGCAAAAGUUCAACAUUUUUCCCCAGGCACAAUAGGCUUGCACAUUUAAAAACUUCUGGUCUGGUAAGGAAUAAGAUGUCAGGGCAUGGAGCAUGCAACAAAUUAAACAGGGAAAGAUAUAUUAACCAAACUUGAGCAAAAUUCUAGGCAUUACCUUGAAGGUACUUACCAAUCCCAAACCUUCUGUAAAGGGGUGCAAAGAUAAAGUAGGUAAGGAUCUUAAAAAUACAUCAGCAUUCCCAAGCUCUAUUAGGCUUACACAGUUUAAAAACUACCAUUUAAAAUACUAUACUAGGGACUGAUAUCUAGAUGGUAAAAACUUAUUGUUUAUAUUAUAUACACUCUUUGUCUACUUGGAUGAGUUGGUGCCCAGAGAGUUCUGAUGACUAAAUAUUUUGAAAUCUUGCCAGAUUAUGUGAAAUCCUGUUUGCAUCCAUAGCUAUAGACUGUUUACUGGAAGUAUUAUGUGGAGUAUGGCUGAAGGGCCUGGUUUUCUCUAACACAGCAAGAGAAGGAGCAAUUUUACCAAAAAAAUAAGAAAUUCAGGUACCUGCUUGGAUGUGGUCACCCCAAGUUACUGCCUCAAAGAACAGGAAAUGAGUGUUGAGGGAGCUACAGAGACAGCCUAUAGGGCAGGACUCUCCAAGGCUGCCUCAUCGGAAGACUCAUUUGGGGCACUUAUUUGAGAAUCUAGAUUCUUAAAUGCUUUCCCUGGAGGAGGUGAUUACUAUGUUUUGGGGUGGGCUUAGGGAUCAAUAUUUUUGAGAAGUGUAGCAACGAUCCUUACAGUAAAGCAAAUGAGAGAAACACUCUUCCAUCUUUGAUUGUCAUUCAUGAUACUAUCAUUUAUUCAUUUAUUCAGUUCUUUAACACUCGCUCUAGUAUUUCUCAAAGUGAUCCUAAAUCCUCUACAUCAAGAUAAGCUGGAGUGUUUGACUAAAAUACAGAUCUUGGGGUGCAUCCCAGACUUCUCCUAUAAGAAUCUCCAGAGGUAGGACCUGGAAAUCUGUAUCUUAAAUGGGCAUUCUAAGUGAUUCUUACGUAGUAUUAAGUUUGAGAAUAUUGCUGUGUGCCCGGCACAUAGCAUGUCUCUUCUCCUUGCCUGUUCCCAGUCCAUAGCUAAUGAGCACUUAUUUACAAACUUACUCAGACAGGGGUCAGUGAAUGCUGUAUGUGGGCAUGAUGUGAAGGGGAAGGGGAGAGACGCAGUUCUUCCUGCUUUAAACCGGAAGAUUAUAAGGCUUGUAGGAGCAAGAAGAGAAGCUACCCUACAGAUGCAGUGGCCAAGUUUUGGUGAGAUGCAGGAAAGCUGGAUAGGGCUCAGGCCCCUUGGGCCUCUGGAGCCUGUGGAAGGAGCCCACCCCAUGCCUGGUUGGAGAUGGCCAUGCAAAGGCUCCACAAUCCCAGGGUCAAGUGUUGGGGCACCGGCCAGACCUCUCACUCAGAAUUUCCUGCCAGAGCUCCAGCCCUGCGGGACAUAAAUAUACUUUACUUUUCUCCUUUCUUCUCCCAUUUCCUUCGUUUUGUUUGUGGAAUGGUAAUAGAACUUGCCCAGGCAUUGUUUCAUUUUGACAUUAUAACAAGGUCUGUUCUGAAUUCACUUUCUCCAUUAGAAGCCUAUGGAGUGUCCAUUGUUCCUAUGGACUUUUACUGAUGUAUAAUUGUGCUUAAAAUAACUCAUCCAAAGUCUGUCUGGAAAAAUAAUAAGUAAAUUGUUUUAAGU